UGGGGAAUAUUGCGCAAUGGGGGAAACCCUGACGCAGCGACGCCGUGUGAGGGAAGAAGGCUUUCGGGUCGUAAACCUCUGUCGGGAGGGAAGAACCUUCCAGGUCUGAACAAGGCUUGGAACUGACGGUACCUCCAAAGGAAGCACCGGCUAACUCCGUGCCAGCAGCCGCGGUAAUACGGAGGGUGCAAGCGUUAAUCGGAAUCACUGGGCGUAAAGCGCGCGUAGGCGGCUUUUUAAGUCGGACGUGAAAGCCCUCGGCUCAACCGGGGAACUGCGUUCGAAACUGGGAAGCUUGAGUCCUGGAGAGGGUGGCGGAAUUCCGGGUGUAGGAGUGAAAUCCGUAGAUAUCCGGAGGAACACCGGUGGCGAAGGCGGCCACCUGGACAGGUACUGACGCUGAGGCGCGAAAGCGUGGGGAGCAAACAG
rnacentral:rRNA from 1 species